AUAGCAGAGUCUUUCGGCGGGGUUUUCUUGUUCUUCAAAUUUCAAAACCCGGCGAGCGCUUCGACUUGAACUCUGCUCGGGAGGUUAAAGGGUAUCGCCCGCGAAUGCUUGAAUGCGCGACCAAUGAAAGCGCAGGGGAAUUUCGGUGUGAAUACGGAAUAGUUAACAUCGUUAACUAUUACGUAAUUCCGGUUCCAAUGAAUGUCUCGCUGAUCUGAGGAUCUUGAGAUAUGCUUGCCCAUUCCGACUUCGACCGUGGAAUAGGCAGGGCGGACCAGUUUUUUUGCAUCGCGAGUGGACGGUAAAAAGUUAGUUUAAAAUAAGUUUUUCCGAGAAAUCGAAAAGUGUAAUUCUUCGCUUGUGUUCCCGUUUAGCGAAAUCAAAGGAAGGAGCCGUAUCCUGACCCCAUGAUCGAAGAUUGGAUCUUCGCCACCACAUCAGUCAAACCAGGUGGCCGCGCGAAGCGCGAAUCGUCACUCGAAUCAAGGGAAGGCGCAGCACGGCACCACUACACGUCGGAUGCGCAUUCAACGUCUACGUCCCAUCAUCUACGCCUACGGACUCGUCAUUCAUCGCCUACCGUGGAACGGCGGUAAAGUAGAUGCACGUAAAGCCUAGGUAGUGUGAGUACAAAACUUCUUUCACCCUAAAAAUAACAUGCGCAUGUAGGGUUAAGAUCAAAAAUAAAAACCACACACAAAUUAACAACGCCACACAAAAAAAAUGCCACACAAUUUAGAAGCAUAGAGCAAUACCGUCAGCGUGCACAUGCUGCUCGCUAGCAAGAAGGGUUCACACAAGAUGGAGAAUUAGACUCGAUAGUAAGAUCGCUGGGCUUGAAUUCCAGGGUCCGGUGUUCGAAACCCAUAUGAGGAUUUAGUGAAAUAAAUUUAGUAACCAUUAUUUUUCGUUAUUUGUUGUGAUGAUUUCGUAUGUAAUAUAGAUGUGAAUAUAACCUAAAUUCGUGGGAAGAUGUGGAGAACUUAAUAAAUGUUUAAAGAAUCAAUGUAAUUUGAAGUAGACAUAAAUGUUGUGCAUUUACUGGCUAGCGGUAGCCUAAACACCCGAUACAAUUUUCAGAUAGGUCACGAGCCCAGGGUUGGGGCUCCUCUUCUGUUGUGGACAACUUUUCAACCCCCGCACCUCGUCCUCUGAAACUUCAAGGUGGGUGGGUUUGGCAUCAUUGCGUAGGUCCAAUGAUGAGAAUUUUGGCAUAAACGGUGUUCAUUGGAAACAACCGUAUUGCCUCUGUUGCCUGAAUUGUGGAACGCGGAUAAACGGUGUCGCGGGUCCUUCUUAGCGCAGAAGAGUCGCGGAAAUAACCGGGUUUGUGAGAAAAAGGACAAACCCGCCCUCAGUGGGUGUCUCAUUGCCGGGCAAGGAUAAAACACGGCGGUCGGUCUCCCUCGCGGGAGUGGCGCUUAAGCCGACCGCUUAUCUGCGCAAAA